AACGAACGCUGGCGGCAGGCUUAACACAUGCAAGUCGAACGCCCCGCAAGGGGAGUGGCAGACGGGUGAGUAACGCGUGGGAAUCUACCGUGCCCUGCGGAAUAGCUCCGGGAAACUGGAAUUAAUACCGCAUACGCCCUACGGGGAAAGAUUUAUCGGGGUAUGAUGAGCCCGCGUUGGAUUAGCUAGUUGGUGGGGCA
rnacentral:rRNA from 1 species